GUGGGGUAUCUAGGCUCCAGACACUUGUAUUUUGUUUUCCAAGCAACAGACAAGAUGUUGGAGGAUCUCAGGUCAGGCAGCAUCUACAGAAGAAAGUACAAUCGACUUCAUCAGGACUGGACAAAAAACAAGAUGAGGAGCCGGAGUAAGAAGGUGGGUGAGGGCCAGGUGGAGGGUGGUGGCAAUGGCGUCAUCUGUUGAAUGGUUGGGAUGAUACACGAACUGCUGUGGGUCCGUUGAGGGAGUACAGGAGCCUGAAGACGCAUACCCAAAGUUUCAAGAACAUUUUCUUUCCCUCUGCCAUCAGAUUUCUGAAUGAACAUUGAAGCCAUGAACACUACCUUACUGCUUUUGCUCUUGUUUUGCACUACUUAUUUAAUUAAUUUUUUAUACCUUAUUGUAAUUUAUGGUAUUUUUAUGUAUUGCACUGUACUGCUGCCACAAACAACAAAUUUCAUUACACAUUCCAGUGAUAUUAAAUCUGAUUCUGAUAUCCAUUUGUUAAUACCACAAAUGAACAAUUCUGGAUGUAGUUUCAAUGGUGUUUAUUUUAUUUCAUUCAAUUUAAUGAAUUAUAAUUUGUUUGUUUGUUUGUCUACUUAUUUAGAGAUAUAGCAUAGAAUAGUGUCCUCCCGUCCUUCGAGCCGCACUACCCGGCAACACCUGAUUUAACCCCAGCCUAAUCACAGGACAAUGUACGAUGACCAG